rnacentral:rRNA from 1 species
AUGGAUGACCUGAAGGCGAUCUUGGCGCGGCCGAUCCAGGUCGCGGAGCAGGUGAUCAAGUGGGCGGAGGAGGCGCAGACGUGCCGGCAGGAGUGCCUGGAGCUCAAGACCAAGGUCGAGCGCCUCGCCUCCCUCCUCCGCCAGGCCGCGCGCGCCGACCUCUACGAGCGUCCUGCCCGCCGCAUCCUCGACGACACCGGCAAGGCGCUCGACAAGGCCGCCGCCCUUCUCGACCGCUGCCGCGCUCGCGGCAUCGUCCACCGCGUCUUCACCAUCAUCCCCGCUGGCUCCUUCAAGAGGACAUCCAACCAGCUCGACAACUCCCUCGGCGACCUCUCUUGGAUCCUCCGCGUGUCCAACUACGCUAACGCCGGCGAUGACCUGGAUGACCACAUUGGCUUGCCCCCCAUCGCCCAGAACGAGCCCAUCCUCUUCCUCAUCUGGGAACAGAUCGCCGUGCUCUACACCGGCACCUUCGACGCCCGCGCUGACGCCGCGGCCAGCGUCGUCUCUCUCGCGCGCGACAAUGACCGAUACGGCAGGCUCAUCAUCGAAGAGGACGGCGUCCCGCCUCUGCUGCGCCUCAUAAAGGAGGGCCGCCCCGAGGGCCAGGAGAACGCCGCGCUCGCCAUCGGCCUCCUCGGCCGCGACCCAGAGUGCGUCGAGCUAAUGGUGCUCGCCGGCGUCUGCACCGCCUUCUCCAAGAUUCUCAAAGACGCGCCCAUGAAGGUGCAGGGCAUGGUGGCGUGGGCCGUGUCCGAGCUGGCCACCAACCACCCCAAAUGCCAGGACGCGUUCAUGCAGAGCAACGUGAUCCGCCUGCUCGUGUCUCACCUCGCCUUCGAGACGGUGCAGGAGCACUCCAAGUACGCCGUCGCGUCCAGGAUGAGCCUACACUCUGUUGUCAUGGACAAGAAGGGCAGCGGCAAAUACUCGUCGCAUCAGGACACAUUUGAUGCGUCGGAGAACACCACCACCACCAACAGCAUGUCGGCGAAGCCCACAACCGGUGGUAGCGCCGCUGCCGCUACCCCUGCUGCCGCCGCCGGCGGCGGCACCAGCUCAAGUGGCGUGACGGGAGCUGCGACUGCGAGCAUUGGCAGCGUUGCGGGGACGAAGCAGCACAAUGUGUCCUUGUCGGGGACGAGCACGCGAGGGAGGGAUUACGAGGACGAAGAGACCAAAGCCUACAUGAAAUCCAACGCAGCCAGAGCGCUGUGCCAGCUAGCCAUGGGCAAUGCCGCCGUGUGCAAGAACAUCACGGAGUCCAGGGCGCUGCUCUGUUUCUCCAUCCUCCUGGAGAAAGGCGCCCCCGACGUGCAGUACAACUCCGCCCUGGCGCUCAUGGAGAUCUGCCGUGUGGCUGAGCAGAACUCGGACCUCCGGCGGUCGGCGUUCAAGCCGACGUCACCCGCCGCGCGCGCCGUGGUGGACCAGCUCCUCCGCGUGGUCACCAAGGCGGAGUACGACGAUCUCCUGAUCCCCUGCAUUACGUCGCUAGGCUGCCUGUCGAGAACCUUCCGGGCGACGGAGACCCGGAUCAUCGGGCCGCUGGUGAACCUCCUGGACGAGCGGGAAGCCGACGUGUCCCGGGAGGCGGCCGUGGCGCUGACCAAGUUCGCCUGCACGGAGAACUACCUGCACGUGGACCACUCCAAGGCCAUCAUCAACGCCAGCGGCGCCAAGCACCUGGUCCAGCUGGUGUACUUCGGGGAGCAGGUGGUGCAGGUGGCGGCGCUCCUCCUCGUGUGCUACAUCGCGCACAACGUCCCCGACAGCGAGGACCUCGCGCAGGCGGAGAUCCUCACCGUGCUGGAGUGGGCGUCCAAGCAGCCGUUCAUGGUGCAGGACACGUUGAUCGAGAAUUUGUUGCCGGAGGCCAAGAUCCGGAUGGAGCUCUACCAAUCCAGAGGGGCAAAAGGUUACCAUUAA